CUUUUUAAGGUUGUGAAUGGAACAGUGUAUGCAUCAGAACUAGUGGCUACAAGUUACCCACAACCAUGAAAAUCAAGCAUCCUGAAAUGUUUCAUUUGAGAGAAAUCUUAAAUCUCAGCAUCUCAGGGUUGUCACAUAUAGAUUUCAUCAAACAAGAGAGCAAAUUGACCACCAACCAUGGCUGAUAGGACAGGCACUGAAGUGAGACUGACAGGCCAGGGUCUUCUUCUUGCCCUUCUUGGAAACUGGAAUGACAUUUGAUAACUUCGAGUCAACUGGGACCUCUCCAGAUUGCCAAGACUGUUGAAAAAUAAUUCAGGGAGUUAUUGCGAUGACAUCAGCUGUCUCUCUGAGUAACCUGAGAUGAAACCCAUUGGGCCCAGUAGACCUGCAUGCAUUCAGUUGGAGCAGCUAAUCUCACACAAGUUUGGUGUUGCCUGGGAGUUUAUCAUUACAGCAGUCAUGGUCCACCAGCUCACCACCACUGGUGUUGAGAAAACAGAGGUGAAGAAGGCAUUAAAUGUCUCUGCUUUGUCUAUAUCCCUAUUUGUGAGGCAACCAUCCUCAUCAAGUAGCGAACCGGUGUUAUCUCUGGUCCUCCUUUUGCUGCUAACAUAUUUAGAAAAAAAUAAAAUAAAAUAUCAUUCCCCAUGGUACUGUCCUGAUUAAACUCUAAUUGUGCCUUUGCCACAUGAAUUUUCUUCCUACAAUGGCAAACAGCAUCUCUGCAGUCCUUUCAUGUUGCCCAACCUCUCUUCUAGUGGCCAUACACUUCCUUGCAUAUGUUUCAUUGAGACAGGGAGAACACAGAAAAAUG